GUAUGUUUGCUGAAUCCCAGCCACCUGAAUAAAUCGCAAAUUUGGAGUUGAUUGAAAUUCUUAAAAUUAUUUUCCAACUCAAUGCUGAAAAAUGAUGGGUAAAUUAAAGUGAUUUUGCUAACGUGAAUGAGUUCAGAUAAACUAUUUCCUACUGUAACUAGAUUCUACACUCCUAAACGGUGAAACCUGGCAAAUGCCCCAUCAAGCCUAUACAUAAACAACUGAUUGUGCAAUCAUGCAUUUAUCACAGUCCUAGACAGGCAUAUCAUGCAUUUGAUUCCUCAUCCUUAUCCCAUCUCAUCCUCUGAGGGAAUUGUUACUUCAACUCCGGUUUACUUUAAAAUACUUGUGUAAGAUAAGGACACUCAGAUAUAGAGGACGCUUUGACUCUUAAAAUAGUGAGCACCUCUAUGUCUAUGGUGUUAUGGAAAACAGGCAUCUCUGACCUCAGAAACAUGUCUGUAUCAGAAACAUGUACCAGAGUCUAAGCAAAUAAAACUCAAGGGAUAUUUCCUUCCCCACAGUUACCAGGACUAAUGUUGGAAAUUUCAUUUUAAAGGGAUAAGAUGACAGUCGACAAUCAUUUACAGGAUGCUGGGACCUUACACAUUCCAUCUAAACCUUUAGAUUUCAUUAUGGUACGUUGGUGAAAAGCAACUUCUCAAGGAAAACUUCAUUGCAGUGAGACUGACAGAACUGUCAGCAGUUCUAACAAUUUGACAUUUCUUAAUUCCACUAAAUCUUCCAUGAGAGUAGUGCCAACUUAUGUAUUCAUUGUUUCUUCUUUGUCUUCCAUUGUGCGCUCUAUUUUCUAAUUUCUAUUCCAGUAUAAACAAGAAAAAGAAUUUGCGAUGCAUAAAGACCACACCUCAAAGAUUUUCCUUCGCUUUCUUUUUUCUUCCAGCCACAUGCAACCAAACAAAUUGUCACUCUUCAAUAACAUGAAAAUGAUUUCAGAGUGUGUAUAUGUAUAACAUUUUUAAGGGGUGGGUGAGGGGUGGUUCUCAAACCAUGAUGUUCUAACAUUUCCAUCAUACAUGUAACACGCUACAUUAGUUCCUGAUGGUCCCUGGCACUAACGUUUCUAUUGAGAACCAUAGACAAACACUAAUGGUAUCUGUUGUGAAAAUCACUUAACACAAAAUAUAAUGUUGUUCAACAUAAGUCUACUCUACUAACAAAUUCACUAUCAAAAAGAAAAAUAAUUACAUACACUAAUUAUUUUUCUCUCCCUCAAUUACUCAAAAAAAGCACACUACGCAGCCACUAUCUUACCACUUGGCUCAACACUGCACUAAUGCACUUCUCUUAUAAAUACUCACAACUUGAUGGCCUAGCACAUGCUUUCUCUGACAUGCCUCUUACACCAAAUAUGGCGGCUCACUUUUAUAGGCCAUGACACGAAUACAAGUCCAAAUUGGACUUGGAUUAUAAAACUUAUCAAAUUCAGUUUUGACCGAAAUCAAACUUCUAAUAAACUCCCUUUUUUUC
rnacentral:misc_RNA from 1 species